rnacentral:rRNA from 1 species
GGUUAAGCGAUUAAGCGUACACGGUGGAUGCCCUGGCAGUCAGAGGCGAUGAAGGGCGUGCUAAUCUGCGAUAAGCGCCGGUAAGGUGAUAUGAACCGUUAUAACCGGCGAUACCCGAAUGGGGAAACCCAGUGUGACUCGUCACACUAUCAUUAACUGAAUCCAUAGGUUAAUGAGGCGAACCGGGGGAACUGAAACAUCUAAGUACCCCGAGGAAAAGAAAUCAACCGAGAUUCCCCCAGUAGCGGCGAGCGAACGGGGAGGAGCCCAGAG